UCCUGUGUUCUCCAAAGGUAGCUCUGCUUUGGGAAGAUAACUGGAUGGUUGGGUCUAGCUGCAGGAAGUCGGUAGCUGGGCUGACCUGAGGGGAAUCUUUGAGUUACAGCCUGAACAACUUGCUUCCUAUUAGGCUGCCAGAGAAAUAAGCAAGACAAUUCCCUCUCCUGCUUCUACAGUCAGGAGUGACAGGCCCUCCAUGCUGGUUCUACCAUGGUCGACUGUUAUCCCCUAAACCACAGGCUGGAGUAAUUGUUUCUUCUCCUAAGUUGUUUCUUGUCAAGUAUGUGGUUAAGGGAUGAGAAAAGAAGCAAAUAAAGUAAGGGCAUUUUCUUCAGACUUUGAGGCUAAUAUUGAAAGGGGAAGAGUGGGACAUCAAUAACCUGUCAGCCACAGUUAAAAGAUGCUAACCCUCCAGCUCUCGGAAACCACACAUUCAAGAGAUAGAAUGAGAUAAUUCGCAUCGAUCAAGCUGGCAAGUUAGAAAGUCUAAUAAGAGGAGGUUUACACAACAGUUAGGCAGUACCUGAAUCACUUCCCAUGGUGCCUGAAUCCCUGCCCAUGUUGCUGUUAUGUCCAAGACUUUCAUCGAAGCAGCUGACACUUCCUUCUGCCAAACUUGUGUCUG